rnacentral:rRNA from 1 species
AGGAAUAUUGGUCAAUGGACGGAAGUCUGAACCAGCCAUGCCGCGUGAAGGAUGAAGGCGUUCUGCGUUGUAAACUUCUUUUAUUAGGGGAGAAACCACUUUUUUCUAAGAGUGUUGACGGUACCUAAUGAAUAAGCACCGGCUAACUCCGUG